UACGGGGGGGGCAAGCGUUGUUCGGAAUUACUGGGCGUAAAGGGCUCGUAGGCGGCCAACUAAGUCAGACGUGAAAUCCCUGGGCUCAACCCAGGAACUGCGUCCGAUACUGGCAGGCUUGAAUCCGGGAGAGGGAUGCGGAAUUCCAGGUGUAGCGGUGAAAUGCGUAGAUAUCUGGAGGAACACCGGUGGCGAAGGCGGCAUCCUGGACCGGCAUUGACGCUGAGGCGCGAAAGCCAGGGGAGCAAACGGG
rnacentral:rRNA from 1 species